AUGCAAGUCGAGCGGAACGAUCCUAGCUUGCUAGGAGGCGUCGAGCGGCGGACGGGUGAGUAACACGUGAGAAUCUGCCCAUUAGAGGGGGAUAACCUGGGGAAACCCAGGCUAAUACCGCAUAAUCCCUACGGGGGAAAGCAGGGGAUCUUCGGACCUUGUGCUGAUGGAUGAGCUCGCGUCGGAUUAGCUUGUUGGUGAGGUAAUGGCUCACCAAGGCGACGAUCCGUAGCUGGUCUUAGAGGAUGAUCAGCCACGCCGGGACUGAGACACGGCCCGGACUCCUACGGGAGGCAGCAGUGGGGAAUCUUGGACAAUGGGGGCAACCCUGAUCCAGCCAUGCCGCGUGUGUGAAGAAGGCCUUCGGGUUGUAAAGCACUUUCAGUAGGGAGGAAGGCUUAUCCUUAAUACGGAUGAGUACUUGACGUUACCUACAGAAGAAGCACCGGCUAAUUUCGUGCCAGCAGCCGCGGUAAUACGAAAGGUGCGAGCGUUAAUCGGAAUUACUGGGCGUAAAGCGCGCGUAGGCGGUUUGCUAAGUCAGAUGUGAAAGCCCCGGGCUCAACCUGGGAACUGCAUUUGAAACUG
rnacentral:rRNA from 1 species